rnacentral:rRNA from 1 species
CCUACGGGCGGCAGCAGUGGGGAAUAUUGCACAAUGGGCGCGAGCCUGAUGCAGCCAUGCCGCGUGUGUGAAGAAGGCCUUCGGGUUGUAAAGCACUUUCAGCGGGGAGGAAGGCGUUAAGGUUAAUAACCUUGGCGAUUGACGUUACCCGCAGAAGAAGCACCGGCUAACUCCGUGCCAGCAGCCGCGGUAAUACGGAGGGUGCAAGCGUUAAUCGGAAUUACUGGGCGUAAAGCGCACGCAGGCGGUCUGUCAAGUCGGAUGUGAAAUCCCCGGGCUCAACCUGGGAACUGCAUUCGAAACUGGCAGGCUAGAGUCUUGUAGAGGGGGGUAGAAUUCCAGGUGUAGCGGUGAAAUGCGUAGAGAUCUGGAGGAAUACCGGUGGCGAAGGCGGCCCCCUGGACAAAGACUGACGCUCAGGUGCGAAAGCGUGGGGAGCAAACAGGAUUAGAUAUCCCUGUAGUC